rnacentral:lncRNA from 10 species
UACUACAUGAUUUCAUUUGUACAAAAUUCUAGAAAAUGUACCUUUAUUGACAAAAAGCCAAUCAGCAGUUGCCUAGGGCCAGGAGCAGAAGGAGAGAUUGGCUGCAGAGGGACACAAGAAAAUUCCUAGGGGUGACAGAAAUGCUUGAUAAGUUGAUUGUGGUGAUAGCUUCAUGAGUAUUCACAUCUGUCUAACCUCACUGAAUUAUAUAUACAUAUAUUAUUUUUUUCAGAGACAGAGUCUCGCUGUGUUGCCCAGGCUGGAGUGCAGUGGUACAAUCUCCGCUCACCGCAACCUCCACCUCCUGGGUUCAAGUGAUUCUUGCGCCUCAGCCUCUCCAGUAGCUGGGAUUACAGGGUGGAGUGCAGUGGCGUAAUCUCGGCCCAGCAAGGAAGCUAGACCAAAGGCAGAGAGAGAAAUGGGGUGCCCAUUUGCCACUCCCGGGAGUGCCUGGCCCCCAAAGGUGCUCGCUGGUGCCCCCUCCUUCAUUACUGUCCAGAGGUUGCCAGGUCACAGGCAUUUCCUGGCCCAGGGAUUGGACUCUGGGGUGGGGCGGGGGGAUGGAGGCAACUCCACUGACCCAAGGACCCAGCAACCCAACAGGACAAUGGUGAGCUUCCCAAGAAGACUGCAGACCUGGGGCCUUUCCAUGGGACAAGAAUGGCCUCCAUGUUGGGGAACCUGAAGAGCCACAAAAGGGGGUGCCCUGCAGGACUCAUUGAACCACUCUCCACCACUGAGAUCCUCACAGGGGCCAGCAGGAAACCAGGCAGUGACCUCCGUGUCCUAAUCCCCUCAUCAACACCUGGAGACCAAGAAACACAGAAAAAGAGGGGUUAGAAGUAAAAAGCCGGAGUUGCCCAGCACUUUGGGAGGCCGAGGUGGGCAGAUCACUUGAG